UACGUAGGCAGCAAGCGUUGUUCGGAAUUACUGGGCGUAAAGAGUGCGUAGGUGGUUGACUAAGUUUGGUGUGAAAUCUCCCGGCUUAACUGGGAGGGUGCGCCGAAAACUGGUUGGCUAGAGUGUGGGAGAGGGAAGCGGAAUUCCAGGUGUAGCGGUGAAAUGCGUAGAUAUCUGGAGGAACGCCUGCGGUGUAGACGGCUUCCUGGACCAUGACUGACACUGAGGCACGAAAGCGUGGGUAGCAAACAGG
rnacentral:rRNA from 2 species